AGCAGCCGCGGUAAUUCCAGCUCCAAUAGCGUAUAUUAAAGUUGUUGCAGUUAAAAAGCUCGUAGUUGAAUUUCGGGAUCAAUUUGCUGGUCGUGCCUUCGGUACGCACUGGUAUUAUUGGUUUCUCCUUUCUGAUGAAUCGCGAUGUCAUUAAUUUGGUGUCGUGGGGAAUCAGGACCGUUACUUUGAAAAAAUUAGAGUGUUUAAAGCAGGCUCACGCUUGAAUACAUUAGCAUGGAAUAAUGAAAUAGGACGUUUGAUUCUAUUUUGUUGGUUUCUAGGAUCGACGUAAUGAUUAAUAGGGAUAGUUGGGGGCAUUAGUAUUCAAUUGUCAGAGGUGAAAUUCUUGGAUUUAUUGAAGACUAACUACUGCGAAAGCAUUUGCCAAGGAUGUUUUCAUUAAUCAAGAACGAAAGUUAGGGGAUCGAAGACGAUCAGAUACCGUCGUAGUCUUAACCAUAAACUAUGCCGACUAGGGAUCGGAUGAUGUAAUUUUUAAUGA
rnacentral:rRNA from 1 species